rnacentral:rRNA from 1 species
GACGAACCUUGCGGCGUGUUAACACAUGCAAGUCGAACGAAGAGCGAUGGAAGCUUGCUUCUACAAUCUAGUGCGAACGGUGAGUACGCUAAUCAACCUGCCCUUCAGAGGGGGAAACAGUUGGAAACGACUGCUAAUACCGCAUACGAUCUAACCUCGGCAUCGAGGUAGAUGAAAGGUGGCCUCUAUUAUAAGCUUCACUGAAGGAGGGGAUGCGUCUGAUUACUAGUUGGAGGGGUAACGCCCACCAAGGCGAUGUCAGUACCGUCUGAGAGGAUGAACGGCCACAUUGGGACUGAGACACGGCCCAGACUCCUACGGGAGGCAGCAGUGGGGAAUCUCCGCAAUGGACGAAAGUCUGACGGAGCAACGCCGCGUGAGUGAUGACGGCCUUCGGGUUGUAAAGCUCUGUUAAUCGGGACGAAAGGCCUUCUUGCGAAUAGUUGAAGGAUUGACGGUACCGGAAUAGAAA